rnacentral:tRNA from 1 species
GGGGCUGUAGCUCAGUGGUAGAGCACUUGCCUAGUAUGUAUAAGGCGCUGGGUUCCAUCCCCAGCACCA